GAUGAACGCUGGCGGCGUGCCUAAUACAUGCAAGUCGAGCGAACGGACGAGAAGCUUGCUUCUCUGAUGUUGGCGGCGGACGGGUGAGUAACACGUGGAUAACCUACCUAUAAGACUGGGAUAACUUCGGGAAACCGGAGCUAAUACCGGAUAAUAUUUUGAACCGCAUGGUUCAAAAGUGAAAGACGGUCUUGCUGUCACUUAUAGAUGGAUCCGCGCUGCAUUAGCUAGUUGGUAAGGUAACGGCUUACCAAGGCAACGAUGCAUAGCCGACCUGAGAGGGUGAUCGGCCACACUGGAACUGAGACACGGUCCAGACUCCUACGGGAGGCAGCAGUAGGGAAUCUUCCGCAAUGGGCGAAAGCCUGACGGAGCAACGCCGCGUGAGUGAUGAAGGUCUUCGGAUCGUAAAACUCUGUUAUUAGGGAAGAACAUAUGUGUAAGUAACUGUGCACAUCUUGACGGUACCUAAUCAGAAAGCCACGGCUAACUACGUGCCAGCAGCCGCGGUAAUACGUAGGUGGCAAGCGUUAUCCGGAAUUAUUGGGCGUAAAGCGCGCGUAGGCGGUUUUUUAAGUCUGAUGUGAAAGCCCACGGCUCAACCGUGGAGGGUCAUUGGAAACUGGAAAACUUGAGUGCAGAAGAGGAAAGUGGAAUUCCAUGUGUAGCGGUGAAAUGCGCAGAGAUAUGGAGGAACACCAGUGGCGAAGGCGACUUUCUGGUCUGUAACUGACGCUGAUGUGCGAAAGCGUGGGGAUCAAACAGGAUUAGAUACCCUGGUAGUCCACGCCGUAAACGAUGAGUGCUAAGUGUUAGGGGGUUUCCGCCCCUUAGUGCUGCAGCUAACGCAUUAAGCACUCCGCCUGGGGAGUACGACCGCAAGGUUGAAACUCAAAGGAAUUGACGGGGACCCGCACAAGCGGUGGAGCAUGUGGUUUAAUUCGAAGCAACGCGAAGAACCUUACCAAAUCUUGACAUCCUUUGACAACUCUAGAGAUAGAGCUUUCCCCUUCGGGGGACAAAGUGACAGGUGGUGCAUGGUUGUCGUCAGCUCGUGUCGUGAGAUGUUGGGUUAAGUCCCGCAACGAGCGCAACCCUUAAGCUUAGUUGCCAUCAUUAAGUUGGGCACUCUAAGUUGACUGCCGGUGACAAACCGGAGGAAGGUGGGGAUGACGUCAAAUCAUCAUGCCCCUUAUGAUUUGGGCUACACACGUGCUACAAUGGACAAUACAAAGGGCAGCGAAACCGUGAGGUCAAGCAAAUCCCAUAAAGUUGUUCUCAGUUCGGAUUGUAGUCUGCAACUCGACUACAUGAAGCUGGAAUCGCUAGUAAUCGUAGAUCAGCAUGCUACGGUGAAUACGUUCCCGGGUCU
rnacentral:rRNA from 1 species